AUGGGAGCUUGCUCCCAUUUCUCAGCGGCGGACGGGUGAGUAACACGUGGGCAACCUGCCCUGCAGACUGGGAUAACUCCGGGAAACCGGAGCUAAUACCGGGUAAUACAUAGCAUCGCAUGAUGCAACGUUGAAAGUUGGCCUUUGGCUAACACUGUAGGAUGGGCCCGCGGCGCAUUAGCUAGUUGGUAAGGUAACGGCUUACCAAGGCCACGAUGCGUAGCCGACCUGAGAGGGUGAUCGGCCACACUGGGACUGAGACACGGCCCAGACUCCUACGGGAGGCAGCAGUAGGGAAUCUUCCGCAAUGGACGAAAGUCUGACGGAGCAACGCCGCGUGAGUGACGAAGGCCUUCGGGUCGUAAAGCUCUGUUGUUAGGGAAGAACAAGUACCGUUCGAAUAGGGCGGUACCUUGACGGUACCUAACCAGAAAGCCACGGCUAACUACGUGCCAGCAGCCGCGGUAAUACGUAGGUGGCAAGCGUUGUCCGGAAUUAUUGGGCGUAAAGCGCGCGCAGGCGGUCUCUUAAGUCUGAUGUGAAAGCCCACGGCUCAACCGUGGAGGGCCAUUGGAAACUGGGGGACUUGAGUGCAGAAGAGGAGAGUGGAAUUCCACGUGUAGCGGUGAAAUGCGUAGAUAUGUGGAGGAACACCAGUGGCGAAGGCGGCUCUCUGGUCUGUAACUGACGCUGAGGCGCGAAAGCGUGGGGAGCGAACAGGAUUAGAUACCCUGGUAGUCCACGCCGUAAACGAUGAGUGCUAGGUGUUGGGGGCUUCCACCCUCAGUGCUGAAGUUAACACAUUAAGCACUCCGCCUGGGGAGUACGACCGCAAGGUUGAAACUCAAAGGAAUUGACGGGGGCCCGCACAAGCAGUGGAGCAUGUGGUUUAAUUCGAAGCAACGCGAAGAACCUUACCAGGUCUUGACAUCCUCUGCCACUCCUAGAGAUAGGACGUUCCCCUUCGGGGGACAGAGUGACAGGUGGUGCAUGGUUGUCGUCAG
rnacentral:rRNA from 1 species